rnacentral:tRNA from 1 species
GCAAGAUUAACUCAAUUGGUAGAGUGUCACCCUUCCAAGGUGAAAGUUGCGGGUUCGAGUCCCGUAUCUUGCU